GCGUGUUGCAGUUCUUGGUGAAACGCUUAGAUGAUGUCUAAUUAAACCUAUGAUGGUUUGGGACAGAACUGACGUAAGUCUAUGUUGAUAUGUUUAAUUCAUCAGCCUACAUGUAACGGUCCUCUUAGCCAUUCAUGACAAAGGAAAUUAUCUGUUCAGUAUCAACUCUCUCAAAUUCAUGCCACGGCCACGCUGCCAACAUCCAAACGGGGGCAAACGGGUGAUAGUGUUUGCAAUAACGGAGUGUAGGAUCCACCCACGCAGGGCCCUCAUCACGCCCCACCCACCAUUUCUCUUCAUACAGAGUACAGCCAGCCACCCUUGCCAAACAAGAUACUAGCACACAGAGAGCGCACUGGUAGGCUACCCCUACGACUUCGAUUAGCCUACGUGAACUGAACGUGUUGACAGACCAUCCGAAAUACUAAACAAUGCACUGCGGGAGUUUGGAAAGAAUGGGGACACCGCGAAAAAGAACUCUUUCGCGAGGAAUGAGUGAGGAUGAAUCUUUACGACACAUAAUUAAGGAGGCUGAGGAGACCACCAAACGAUUGACCCGUAGUGAAAGCAGAUACGGAUCACUGAAAAGGGGAGAGAGAGACAACCAGAGUGAAGAUGAUAAACUUGCAGGCAUCCCUGAUAUGGUAGAACUCCAGGCAAAUUACGACAGCGUGCUGCUGGAGCUGCGUGAUCUGGAGGUUCGGCAGGCUGCUUUCCGGUUCCAGGUGGACCUGCUCCAGGACACUUUGGAGGGGACGGAGGAGAUGCUCUCUGAAGCCCAGAGGGAAACUCACGACAACAGCAUGGAGCUGGAGCGAGAAAGGGAGGCGAGACGGAAGUUGGAGGACAUGGUCAGCUCAUUAAGGCAGGAGGUAGAGCGGCUGAAAGAGGAGAGAAACAGCAUCCCAGUGGUCCCUGUCUACUCUCUGGUUAGAGACGCCACACAGGAGACUGCAACUGAGGAGAGCAGAGACACACAAACAACACCACCUCCUAACAAGCCAGAGGAUGCCGGACAAGAGGCACCUUUCACUCUGGUGCGAUUGGACAGCAUGCCUGUCACUCAAACUCAACCACCCGGCACUACAGAGGGGCAAGCAGACAGCCCGAAUGGAGGGCUGCUGUCGUUCUUCAAGAAGGGAAAAGGGGACCAGCCUCAAGAGGGUCGUGCUGGUCCUGCCUGGCUUCAGAACGCCCCCCAGGGGACAUCGGUGGAUCAGGAUUCUGCCCACGUCAGGAGCGCUCAGGAGGAAAACAGCGACAGCCCCCUGGCCAAACUCACCAGGAUGGUAAAGAGCUUUGGUCACACGCCGUCGCUGGACCUGGCUGACCAGCCUGUGCAGGAGGGAGUGUUUCGAGGCCCCAAGCAUGUUGGGGAUGACCCGGAGGACAACGACGAGAGCAGCGGCUACGAGGACGCACAGUCAGACUUACAGGAGCAGGAGACCCUCCCGGGUGCCUCCACACCAGACGGAUCUCCAGAUGGAGGUUUCCUUGAGGAAGAGAUGGGAGAUGAGGAAGACGGGGAUACAGCAGCCAAGACCGGGGAGCCAGGGAGCCCCAAACCAAACGACUCUUGUGUUUUGUCUUAA
rnacentral:lncRNA from 1 species